AAAAACAUUGUAAAUAUCAUUACUAUUUAUAAAAUCUGCUCAAUGAAUUUUAAAUAGCCGCAGAAAUUAACUGUGCUAAGGUAGCAUAAUCAUUAGCCCCCUAAUUAGGGGCAAGUAUGAAAGAUCUAACAUUUUAAUCUCUUUUUUUAAUAAAAAUUUUAACCUAUAUUAAACAUAAAAAUAUGUUUAUCAAUAAAUAAGACGACAAGACCCUGUCGAACUUAACUUAUGUUUGGCUGGGGCAGCAAUCUAAUAAAUAUCUUACUUUACAUAUUUAAUAUUAAGACCCAACAUCUUUGAGUACAAGAACAAGUUACCGCAGGGAUAACAGCGUAAUAUUUCUUUGAAGCUCUUAUUUAAAGAAAAGUUUGCGACCUCGAUGUUGAAUUAUUUUUACUUUUAAACGCAAUAGUAUAAAAAGUAAGUCUGUUCGACUUUUAAAAAAU
rnacentral:rRNA from 1 species